GACCAGGAAACCCAAUUCCGGUCAUUCCGCCACCUCUGUCUUCUCGAUUCCCUCGAUCUCCAGUCAUUUCCAGUCGAUUCCCUCGAUUUCUCUCUGGUUUCGAAAAGGAAAAUCAACCCUUUAGCUGGUGCAUGUCGUCUCCGUCACUGAGUUGAUGUCGUCUCCGUCGCUGUGUUGGUGUCGUCUCCGGAGAUCUGCAAAAUCGAAGAAGAAACCCACGACAGGUAGGCAACUCAGAUCUGUAGUAAUGAACUGUAGAUAUAAUCUUCGAUUUCUCAAUGUCUUAAUUCGAUUUCUCUAAUUACUUUCCAUUUACUCUCAUUGUAGCUCUAGAGA
rnacentral:lncRNA from 1 species